rnacentral:lncRNA from 1 species
CCUUAAUGGAUAUUUUUCAGCACAUUCCCACUGCCUCUAACUAGUUUGCACUAUUUGAAUUUGUCAGCAGUGGGUCUGUGCUGAUAGUACUAGAAAAGCUCGGUAUAGGCGAAAACUCAUCCGCUAAAUAUCUUUCUUCCUUUUUAUUUUAUUUUAUUUUAUUUUAUUUUAUUUCUUCUGUUUGUUUGUUUGGAAGAUUGUCGCCACAAAGGUUGAAUAAGGCUAAAAGGAGAGAAAAUUACCUUUCUGAUCUCAGCCUCCGGUUCUGUGAACUGGGCAGAACACUGCUGUCUGCUCAGAAAUAUAUAUAUAUUAUAUAUAUAUAUAUAAUUUUUUUUUUUUUUUAUAAAGAAAAGCUAAUGUUUUAACAAGGUUAAGAUGCUAUUGGAAAGGUGGAGAUGGCAGCUAAAAGUGGAAAUGCAGGAAAAAGGUAUUUAAAAGUCUCCCUUCCUUGCGGUCCCUGGAGAGGAGCGGUGACGGGUGGCUCUGGCUGACACCUCCCUGUCCCCGGGGGAGUCACGGGGGGGCUGUGCCACCGGCCACCCCCCUGGCACUUACCAAACGGGAACCAGAUCUUUCCCUUGACUCUGAAUUUUGGCUCCCUGUCCCCGAAAUCGCUCUGGCACAACUGUGUGCUUGCACUUUUUUUUUAAUUUCCCUUUUUUUUUUUUAAUUUCCCUUUUUUUUUAAUUUCCCUUUUUUUUUUUCUUAAUUUCUUUCCCUCACCCCACCCUGUGUUGUGUCCCCCCUCCCUCUGCAAGCAGAGGUGUCACCCAAACCCCCCUCUGCUUGGAGCAGGAUCUGUGUUUGAUUCCUCCCCAUCUGAGGCAUCCUGGGCUUGAAAGCACCUCAUAGAAUGGUUAUUUUGGGGCUAAAUCUGGCCCUGCCGUGCCCCGUCUGAGGGCUCUUCCUGCCGGGGUCCUGGGGUCCUUUGGUCCUUGGGAUUUGGGAAGAAACAUCCCUUAGGACUGGUUUGGGUCAGCAAGAUGAUGGAGAGAAGCAUCAGGGGUCAAACAGGGGCCGUUGGAGGUGCAAGUGUGGGCUCUGCCCGGCUGCCUUGGGCUGGGGGUUGAUUUUUUGGUUUAUUUUUUACCUUUUUUAUUACUGUAAGGUCCCAAAUGGGCGUUGCCACCUGUUUCUCUGUCCUGCUGCCCGUCGGCACGGCCGUCGCCCCGCUCCAUAACCAGGAGGGCCUGAUCCUGGGCCCAGACCUGGUCAAACUCUUCCCAAACUUAACCUGGUCUCACAGCCCGGGAUUAGAAACUGGAGGUUUCUCCUGAGAAACCUGGAGCCGGUGGCAGGAGGGGACAGGAGGGAGGGAGGGCUGGUGGCAUCUAACCCUUGUGUAGAGGUGGUACGACACGUGUU